GACGAACGCUGGCGGCGUGCAUAACACAUGCAAGUCGAACGGAAAGGCCCUGCUUUUGUGGGGUGCUCGAGUGGCGAACGGGUGAGUAACACGUGAGUAACCUGCCCUUGACUUUGGGAUAACUUCAGGAAACUGGGGCUAAUACCGGAUAGGAGCUCCUGCUGCAUGGUGGGGGUUGGAAAGUUUCGGCGGUUGGGGAUGGACUCGCGGCUUAUCAGCUUGUUGGUGGGGUAGUGGCUUACCAAGGCUUUGACGGGUAGCCGGCCUGAGAGGGUGACCGGCCACAUUGGGACUGAGAUACGGCCCAGACUCCUACGGGAGGCAGCAGUGGGGAAUAUUGCACAAUGGGCGGAAGCCUGAUGCAGCAACGCCGCGUGCGGGAUGACGGCCUUCGGGUUGUAAACCGCUUUCGCCUGUGACGAAGCGUGAGUGACGGUAAUGGGGCAAGAAGCACCGGCGAACUACGU
rnacentral:rRNA from 1 species